AUUGAACGCUGGCGGCAUGCUUUACACAUGCAAGUCGAACGGCAGCGCGGGCUUCGGCCUGGCGGCGAGUGGCGAACGGGUGAGUAAUGCAUCGGAACGUGCCCAGUAGUGGGGGAUAGCCCGGCGAAAGCCGGAUUAAUACCGCAUACGACCUGAGGGUGAAAGCGGGGGACCGAAAGGCCUCGCGCUAUUGGAGCGGCCGAUGUCGGAUUAGCUAGUUGGUGGGGUAAAGGCUUACCAAGGCGACGAUCCGUAGCUGGUCUGAGAGGACGACCAGCCACACUGGGACUGAGACCCGGCCCAGACCCCCAGGGGGGGCAGCGGUGGGGAAUUUUGGAAAAUGGGGGAAACCCUGCCCCCGCCAGGCCGGGGGGGGGAAGAAGGCUUUGGGGUUGGAAACCGCUUUUGUUGGGGAAGAAACCCUUUGGGCUAAUACCCCGGGGGGAUGAGGGUACCGGAAGAAUAAGCACCGGCUAACUCCGU
rnacentral:rRNA from 1 species